rnacentral:lncRNA from 12 species
GGGGCCGCGGGCUGGACCCGGUUCAGCGUGGUUGAGAAGGGGAGCGCCCCGCACCCGCACCCCCCGCCGCCCCCGGCCGCAGAGAUCACAAGCGUUUGCGCUGACAGCUGCGGCGGGGCCGGCGGCCUGUGCCCGGGGGCGGGGGCGGGGGCGGGGGGGGGGGCUCCCGGCGAUGCGAGUGGAAGCGGAUGGGAGGCGAGGGCCGGGCCCCCAUCUCCCGAGAGCCCCGCGGCUUCCUAAAGCCCUUCCCGGGGAGGGAUGGGAGGCUCUGCCGCAAAGGAGCGGCUGCCACGCGCGCGCCUCGCGUCCCUCCCCGGGUCCCUCUUCCCACGCACGACACACCGGGCGCUAGAAGGGACCAGACCGCAAAGCCCCCUGCGCGGCAGCCCCUGGGGUCCCCCGGGCAAGCAGGGGACGGGGCGCUGCGAUCCCGGCCGCCAGGCCGCCUGCAGGUGCCCCAGCCGCCCCCUCCCCGGCCGGGUCGCCUGGGCCUCGGCGCAGGUCGAGGUGUCAGGACAUCUGCACUCGGGCCGCCCACCCCUAGGGCUCCGCACGGCGGGGGCUCCGCACACUACACCCCGGUCCUCGGCCUCGCAGGGAGUCCGGCCGCCCCCCGGACACCAGCCCUGGAGAGAGGAAGAGAAGACAAGGGGACAGAAGAAGUGCUUCCCGCAGAGGGGACACUGCUGUCUGCUGGAUUUAAAAGUGCGGCCUCUUUGAAACAAAUACCGUGA